CGGGCGGCUGCAGCAGUGAGGGAUUUUGCGCAAUGGGGGAAACCCUGACGCAGCAACGCCGCGUGAGUGAAGAAGGCCCUUGGGUCGUAAAGCUCUGUCAACAGGGAAGAAGUUACUUUGUAUUAAUAAUAUGAGGUAUUGACGGUACCUGUGAAGGAAGCACCGGCUAACUCCGUGCCAGCAGCCGCGGUAAUACGGGGGGUGCAAGCGUUAUUCGGAAUUAUUGGGCGUAAAGGGCACGCAGGCGGUCCUGUCAGUCAGAUGUGAAAGCCCGGGGCUCAACCCCGGACGUGCAUUUGAAACAGCAGGACUUGAGUACGGGAGAGGAAAGGGGAAUUCCUGGUGUAGAGGUGAAAUUCGUAGAUAUCAGGAGGAACACCGGUGGCGAAGGCGCCUUUCUGGACCGAUACUGACGCUGAGGUGCGAAGGCGUGGGUAGCGAACGGGAUUAGAUACCCCAGUAGUC
rnacentral:rRNA from 1 species